ensembl:lncRNA
UGUGGAGAGGGGUGGCGGGGUCGCCAUCUUUCUGUGAGGAGUGCAGAGCUGGAGGAUUUCUACGUAUAGUCUGUAGUAAGCUGGAAUUAAAACAAUAUGGGACGUCUUAAUACACGCUAAAUGCCGAGAAGAGUGCUUUUAAUAGCAUAGGUGGCUAAGUGCUAAGCUUUCAUGCUGCCCACAGCCGCUGCCCCAAAGCCCUCUCAGGUGCGAUCUGGAAGGACGGGCAGAACUGCAGCUUUACAGCAGGAGCCUCAGGCCAAAGCAAGUGGGGUAUCUAACCAAGGCAACCCAGCUUGUGUCCAGAAGCAACGAAAACCCUUUGGGGAGUGAUCAUUCAGUGAGACAAACUAAAAAUGCUCACCUAACUGGAGCAACGAUUUUUUAUUCUUUUUUUUUAAUUUUUUGCCCUAUUUAAAGUUGAUUUUCAUCUUUUAUAAGGAGUUGGGUAACAAGGGGAAUCAAGAUCACUAGGUACACCAUUACUCUGAGGGGGCAUAAAAGGGCUGUAACUGCCCCAUUGGAAAGAGUACCGCCUCCCAGACUGCAUCUUUUAGUGAUCUGUAAUGGGGCAAAAAAGGGCUUACCUACCUUGUUGGAAGGCAUGUUUCUGCUCUCCAGAUCGCAUCUUUUACUAGUAUUCCUUUCGCCGUGCUCUUAGCUGACAUUGGAUAAUCCUCUUUUCCAAUCCUGAGCACCCUGAAGAAGCUCUUUUCCGAGCCCAGCAGUAGCCAAGCACAAGCUUCUAGCCCAGGAGGAAGGAGGGCACUGCUGGGAGGUGAGUCUGGGGCAGGAGUAGCCUCUGUCCCCUCGAGUGGCUGCGGGGCCAGACCCGUUCGGGCAGAAGCGGCCCCUCACCCUGUGUGCUCUCUACUAUUGGCUGCAGUGAUAAUCAAAGGGUGCUGAGCAACGCACAGCUUCCCCUACCUGUUCUUUCUCUGCUUUCAUCUCUCUAUUUUCACCCUACUUUGCUUUACUUCUCCUUUCCUUUUCUAGACUUGUUUAAACAUGUUCACUAACCGUUUUCUGCUUUUUAAAAAUGCCAUUAUUUUAAUACUUGCCUGUUUCUGCUUUUUGCCUGCCUUUUCAGCGGUGUUUCUUAUUUAUUUUUACGUGUAGAUUGCUUGUCCUUUUGAAGAGAGGGAAUGGCUGCAGAUGAAGACAAGUGAGCAGCGUCAGUUUUCUUCCUGCCUCUUUCCCAUGUGAGCGCAGGGCCGCCGAGGGGAGCUGGCAGCCCGUGUGGCUGAGGCAGGCCCAUCAGGGCUCAGCUGCGGGGCGGAGGUGGAAGCACCGCUUCAUUCUGCUUUCAGCAGAGCAGCAAAAAUUGAACAAGAUUUUCUUCGCCACUUUAUUGGUCCAUCUGGACUUGCAAAGGGUUGCCAAACUAACAGAGCUGAUGAAAGGUGCCCGAAUCAUCCUCUCAGAUGAUCCCUGCGGCAGCCCAAGAAGGCAACACGAUGUAAUCUGCAGGCGGUCUCUGUAUUAGAUCCCCAGCGACGUCUGUGCCGCUGCUCGGCGUGUCCCGUGGGGAAUGCGUAGCAUCCAACCGCUGGCAUCCCCUCCUGGCGGAAGCGCUACCAUUGGAAGAGCAGAGGAAAAAGAUCUCCCGCUCGGGAGGCUCGCACAUGCUGCUCGCUGCCUCGGCCGGGUGCUGUGCUGAAGGAGUGGGACAUCUGCGCGGAAGGGAGAAGCAGCUGCUCCAGCCCCGGGCUGGGGCUGAACUUCCCGCAGCGCUUCGGGCUUUGAGUGAGCGCUGGGGGAAGGCGAGCAGCAGGACGGGAACGCGCAGCCCGGAGCGUACACGGAAUCGGCUAGAAUAUUUCGAGCCUAAUGGCCUCCAGCAUAAACAAGAGCCGGCAGCCCGGGACUUGCAAUGGAUCUAAAGCCCCUCGCGGCAGUUCGGCAGAAGGAUACAAUAAGGAAAUUCACAUGCAGAUGUGCAAGAAGAUCGCCCAGCUCACCAAG